GAUGAGAGGCGGCCAUGAGGGGAGAUCAUGGAGGAAGAUGAGAGGCGGCCAUGAGGGGAGAUCAUGGAGGAAGACGAGGGCGGCCAUGAGGGGAGAUCAUGGAGGAAGGUGAGCGGCGGCCAUGAGGGGAGAUCAUGGAGGAAGACGAGGGGGUGGCCAUGAGGGGAGAUCAUGGAGGAAGACGAGGGGCGGCCAUGAGGGGAGAUCAUGGAGGAAGGUGAGCGGCGGCCAUGAGGGAGAUCAUGGAGGAAGGUGAGGGGCGGCCAUGAGGGGAGAUCAUGGAGGAAGACGAGGGGCGGCCAUGAAGGGAGAUCAUGGAGGAGACGAGGGUGGCCAUGAGGGGAGAUCAUGGAGGAAGGUGAGGGGCGGCCAUGAGGGGAGAUCAUGGAGGAAGACGAGGGGCGGCCAUGAGGGGAGAUCAUGGAGGAAGGUGAGCGGCGGCCAUGAGGGAGAUCAUGGAGGAAGACGAGGGGCGGCCAUGAGGGGAGAUCAUGGAGGAGACGAGGGUGGCCAUGAGGGGAGAUCAUGGAGGAAGGUGAGAGGCGGCCAUGAGGGGAGAUCAUGGAGGAAGACGAGGGGGCGGCCAUGAGGGAGAUCAUGGAGGAGACGAGGGCGGCCAUGAGGGGAGAUCAUGGAGGAAGACGAGGGCAGCCAUGGGAUGUGAGGGUGUCAGAGCCCGUCCCAGCUGUUCUGAAAUGUCCUUGCUCAGGUGUGCCAGCAGAACAACGCGCCUCCAAGGUGAGAUCUCCAGGCGAUGGAUUUCACAGGCACCCGCCCUCUGCAUAUGUAAUAACUCACCUUUUCAUUUUAAUUUUCAUUUUAACACGUAAUGAGCUGACUUAGAAACCCAAGCCUGAGGAGCUUGGGAGGAAAUUCAGGAGCAUUUCUGGAAACAGAAGAUUUUGGCUCCUGUUUGGUUGCUUUGGAGAAGGUAUUUGUUUUUUACAAAUUAAAAAAAAAAAAAAAAACCAAAAAAAACCACCAAAACCACAGAUAUUUUGUUGGGAAAUCGCAUCAGGUUUCAUCUUUUCUAUCACGACCGGGUGAAAACCCCUUCUUGUCCCUGCGUUCCACCUCGGACAGCGGUAAUAAAAUCCUACCUGGGGCUGUGUAAAUUCGUUGCUGGUAAAAAUAAACAUUUUUAGAGGCUG